rnacentral:rRNA from 1 species
GUGUACAUGUUCGUCAGGAGACAGGUUGCGGGGGAUAAGCUUCGUAGUCAAAAGGGAAACAACCCAGACCGACAGCUAAGGUCCCAAAAUAUAAGUUAAGUGAUAAAGGAUGUGAAAUUACUUAGACAGCUAGGAGGUUGGCUUAGAAGCAGCCAUUCCUUUAAAGAGUGCGUAAUAGCUCACUAGUCAAGUGAUUUUGCGCCGAUAAUUUCCGGGACUAUUAAACUUAUUACCGAAGCUUCGGAUCCCCGAUCUGAUCGGGGGUGGUAGGAGAGCGUUCCAUUAACCGCAGAAGGUUGACCCGCGAGGGCAGCUGGAGGACAUGGAAAUGAGAAUGCAGGCACGAGUAACGAUAAUCCCGGUGAAAUUCCGGGACGCCGAAAGCCUAAGGUUUCCUGAGUAAAGCAACUCUGCUCAGGGUUAGUCGGCCCCUAAGGUGAGGCCGAAAGGCGUAAUCGAUGGGAAACAGGCAAAUAUUCCUGUACCGGUUCCAAACCGUUAUCAACUAUGGGGUGGUGCAGAAGUGAAAGGUCAUCCGUCUGACGAAAUAGACGGUUUAAGCGUGUAGGGAGUUUUUCCAGGCAAAUCCGGAAAAACAUUAUCCUGAGGCGUGAUGACGAGUUCUUUGAACAUAAAGUGACCCUAAUCAUACUGACAAGAAAAACCUCUAUGUGAGGUUUGGAGUCGACCGUACCUCAAACCGACACAGGUAGGCGAGAUGAGAAUUCUAAGGCGUUUGGAUUAACUCAGGUUAAGGAACUCGGCAAAUUAACCUCGUAACUUCGGGAGAAGAGGUGCCUUGAGUAGGUGAAGUCAUUUACUGACGGAGCCCAAAAAGGCUGCAAGAACAAGGCCCAAACGACUGUUUAUCAAAAACACAGGUCUCUGCUAAGUCGUAAGACGAUGUAUAGGGACUGACACCUGCCCGGUGCCGGAAGGUUAAGAGGAGGGGUCAUCUGUUCGCUUUGGCGGACAGUGAAGCUCUAAAUUGAAGCCCCGGUAAACGGCGGCCGUAACUAUAACGGUCCUAAGGUAGCGAAAUUCCUUGUCGGGUAAGUUCCGACCUGCACGAAUGGUGCAACGAUUUGGGCACUGUCUCAACCUGAGAUCCAGUGAAACUGUAGCGUCGGUGAAGAUGCCGGCUACCCGCGGCAGGACGGGAAGACCCCGUGAACCUUUACUACAACUUGGCAUUGGGUUUUGGUUUCAUAUGUAGAGGAUAGGUGGGAGACUAUGAAGCGUGGACGCCAGUCUGCGUGGAGUCAUCCUUGGAAUACCACCCUUAUGUUGCUAGAAUUCUAACGUGAGCCCGUGAAUCCGGGUUGCGAACAGUGUCUGGUGGGUAGUUUGACUGGGGCGGUCGCCUCCCAAAAUGUAACGGAGGCGCUCAAAGGUUCUCUCAGCACGGUUGGUAAUCGUGCGUCGAGUGCAAAGGCAAAAGAGAGCUUAACUGCGAGUCCGACGGGACGAGCAGAUGGGAAACCAGGACUUAGUGAUCCGGCGGUUGCGAAUGGAAGCGCCGUCGCUCAACGGAUAAAAGGUACUCCGGGGAUAACAGGCUUAUCUCCCCCAAGAGUUCACAUCGACGGGGAGGUUUGGCACCUCGAUGUCGGCUCGUCGCAUCCUGGGGCUGAAGAAGGUCCCAAGGG